rnacentral:misc_RNA from 1 species
GAUGAAGAACGCAUCGAAAUGCGAUAAGUAAUGUGAAUUGCAGAAUUCAGUGAAUCAUCGAAUCUUUGAACGCACAUUGCGCCCGCCAGUAUUCUGGCGGGCAUGCCUGUUCGAGCGUCAUUUCAACCAUCAAGCCCCAGGCUUGUGUUGGGGACCUGCGGCUGCCGCAGGCCCUGAAAACCAGUGGCGGGCUCGCUGUCACACCGGGCGUAGUAGAUUUUAUCUCGCUCAGGGCGUGCUGCGGGUUCCGGCCGUUAAAAAGCCUUUUUUACCCAAGGUUGACCUCGGAUCAGGUAGGAAGACCCGCUGAACUUAAGCAUAUCAUAAGCGGAGGA